rnacentral:rRNA from 1 species
UGGGGAAUCUUGCACAAUGGGGGAAACCCUGAUGCAGCGACGCCGCGUGAACGAUGAAGCCCUUCGGGGUGUAAAGUUCUUUCGACGGGGACGAUAACGACGGUACCCGGAGAAGAAGCUGCGGCUAACUACGUGCCAGCAGCCGCGGUAAUACGUAGGCAGCAAGCGUUGUUCGGAAUUACUGGGCGUAAAGAGUGCGUAGGUGGUUGGCCAAGUUUGGUGUGAAAUCUCCCGGCUUAACUGGGAGGGUGCGCCGAAAACUGGUUGACUAGAGUGUGGGAGAGGGACGUGGAAUUCCUGGUGUAGCGGUGAAAUGCGUAGAUAUCAGGAGGAACACCUGCGGUGUAGACGGCGUCCUGGAUCAUGACUGACACUGAGGCACGAAAGCGUGGGGAGCAAACA